ACAAGCAGCGGAGCGUGUGGUUUAAUUCGAUGCUACACGAAGAACCUUACCUGGGUUUGACAUAGAGGUAGUAGGGAAGCGAAAGCGGACCGACCCUUCGGGGAGCCUCUACAGGUGUUGCAUGGCUGUCGUCAGCUCGUGUCGUGAGAUGUUCGGUUAAGUCCGCUAACGAGCGCAACCCUCGCUGUGUGUUACAAGUGUCACACGGUACUGCCGAUAUUAAGUCGGAGGAAGGUGGGGAUGACGUCAAGUCAGCAUGACCUUUAUAUCCAGGGCUACACACACGCUACAAUGGCCAGUACAAUGGGUUGCCAAGCCGCGAGGCGGAGCCAAUCCUAAAAAGCUGGCCUCAGUUCAGAUUGCAGUCUGCAACUCGACUGCAUGAAGUUGGAGUUGCUAGUAACCGCAGGUCAGCAAUACUGCGGUGAAUACGUUCCCGGGGAUU
rnacentral:rRNA from 1 species